GGACGAACGCUGGCGGCAUGCCUAACACAUGCAAGUCGAACGGAGAACUCCUUCGGGGGUUCUUAGUGGCGGACGGGUGAGUAACACGUGAGCAACCUGCCUUUCAGAGGGGGAUAACGUUUGGAAACGAACGCUAAUACCGCAUAAUGUAUACGGACGGCAUCGUCUGUAUACCAAAGGAGCAAUCCGCUGAAAGAUGGGCUCGCGUCCGAUUAGCUAGAUGGUGAGGUAACGGCCCACCAUGGCGACGAUCGGUAGCCGGACUGAGAGGUUGAACGGCCACAUUGGGACUGAGACACGGCCCAGACUCCUACGGGAGGCAGCAGUGGGGGAUAUUGCACAAUGGGGGAAACCCUGAUGCAGCAACGCCGCGUGAAGGAAGAAGGUCUUCGGAUUGUAAACUUCUGUUUUUAGUGAAGAAAAAAUGACGGUAGCUAAAGAGGAAGCCACGGCUAACUACGUG
rnacentral:rRNA from 1 species